rnacentral:rRNA from 1 species
UGGCUCAGAACGAACGCUGGCGGCAGGCCUAACACAUGCAAGUCGAGCGAACCCUUCGGGGUUAGCGGCGGACGGGUGAGUAACGCGUGGGAACGUGCCCUUCUCUACGGAAUAGCCCUGGGAAACUGGGAGUAAUACCGUAUACGCCCUAUUGGGGAAAGAUUUAUCGGAGAAGGAUCGGCCCGCGUUGGAUUAGGUAGUUGGUGGGGUAAUGGCCUACCAAGCCUACGAUCCAUAGCUGGUUUGAGAGGAUGAUCAGCCACACUGGGACUGAGACACGGCCCAGACUCCUACGGGAGGCAGCAGUGGGGAAUCUUAGACAAUGGGGGCAACCCUGAUCUAGCCAUGCCGCGUGAGUGAUGAAGGCCUUAGGGUUGUAAAGCUCUUUCAGCUGGGAAGAUAAU